UCAAUCUAUCUCUCAGGUUGAACAAAGCGGAGGAAAAUCUUUGUACACUGAUGAUGGAGCUCUGUGGAUAAGGACCACAGUGUAUCUUAUGUGUGUAUUUAAUAAGAAAAUGCAAGCUGCAAUAGUUGAAGUGGAAAAAUGGACAAGUAAAUGGGGAUUCAAACUAUCUGUAGCAAAAAGCAAAAGUAAUUUGUUUCUCAAGACGGCAUCAAAUUGCACCCGUCUCCUUAAAAUUCUAUGAACAACCUCUUGAGCAAGUAAAAGAUUAGAUUACUAUUAGAUUUCUUGGGGUUUGGUUUGCCAAAAAGCUUGCAUGGAAUGUUUAUUUAGAUGAAGUUAAGAUCAAAUAUAAAAAGGUCAUCAAUAUACUUCACUGUUUAUCAGGGCAGGAGUGAGGAGCAAGUAGGAUCUCUACAAAAUAUAUAUACUAGGGCACUCAUGAGAUCUAUGCUUGACUAUGGGUGUGUAGCUUACUUAGCAGCAGCAGAAUCAAACCUCAAGAAGUUAGAUGUAUUACAAACUCAAGCCUCUGAGAAUCUGUAGUGGAUAAUUCAAAACAACUCUAGUAUCAGCGAUGCAGGUGGAAAUGGGAGAAAUGCCUUUAAGGGUCAGAAGAGUGAAGUUAAUGUUGACAUACUGGGUUUAUCUCCAGGGGCAAAGUGAUACACAUCCUGUCUAGAGUGUUUUAACAGACUGCUGUUAACAUAGUGAGACGAAUUUCAUAAGUUUGGGGUGGAUUGGUGAUGUAAAGGCAGAAAACUUACUCCUCUUGCCCAGUAUAGACCUCAACAUACGGCAGGAAUUGAAGGACAAGUCAGAGCGACUUCCAGUAUCGCUCAUAGUCCAGAACUAUUUUGAUCAGCAUUUUUCAGACUCAGUGUUUAUAUUCACAGACGGCUCCAAAGAUCCUGAUACAGGGUGUGCAGGUGCAGCAGUAUAUAUCCCAGUGAGUGAGUCAUAUUAUGAAAAGGGUAUCAGACCAUUUGUCAGUAUAUACCACAGAGCUAUUGGCAAUAUUAUUGGCCCUGCAGUGGAUAGAGAAGAAGGAGAUAAAUAACACCGUUAUUGUAUCUGACAGCUUUUCAGCACUAACCGGCAUAAGAUCUGGCAGAUUGUCAUGUAGAACAGAUAUUAUAAUUUAAAUAUUCCUUAUACCCCUUAUUUCCAUCCUGUAUAUUAUAUCUACACACUUCCUUUGGUUUCCUGCUCAUGUCGGUGUGGAGGGAAAUGAGCUCGUCUGAAAAUAGAACACACAGGUCUCAAUCAUACAUUAUAUAAAAUAGGGAAGCACCCAAAUGGAAAAUGAACACACUGUAGCCAACCAGAAACAGUCAAACAUGUACUACUUCAUUGUAGAAAAUCACCUUCAGGCACUAAGGAAGGCAAAACAUCAUGACUUUUCAUUGUCAGGCCUGUUGGGGGAAACAGAAGGCAAGAUAUAUUGUGACGUUAUUCAAUUUUUAAAAGAAACUGAUUAACCAAAAAAAAAAAAUACAUUUUUUGAUUUCCUCCAUAAUCUCUUGUUCCACACUCCAGUCCAGUUAAUGCGCCUCUAAGUUGGUAAACACUAAAGAAGAAGAAGAAUCUAGCUUCCACAGGGUUUCAACGGUCAAACUACUGUCUAGCUCAUGUCAAACCAAACAACUGUAAACAACUGAUUUAUAAAACCCAAAGUCUGUCUGUCAUCAGUCUGUCAGUUUGUCAUAAUGCCAGGGGGCGUCUACAAAAAAGACGUGUUCCUUUUGUCGGGGCAUUUUAUUUUGUGUGCAGAAGAUCUAUUCACAUUGUAAAAAGGAGCAGGCUCUGGAGCAGCGCCUUAAGAGGAAGCUUCAAAAGUCUGAUGAGAAGCAAGAGGAAUGGGUGAAUCACAGCAUUGCAUCCAUCAGGGAUGAAGCCAUGGUCAUGCUUGAGAAAAUCCAUGUCAUUGGCUAAAAGCCAGUGCUGCUUCUUGGCAAGGAGACCAGAAACGAAAAAACCAAAUGUGAAAUAUUAACCCCUUGCUGCACACUUACCGCCUACGCCUAGGACCACCUUCAGAAGAUUGGCUCAUUUUAUGAGUACCUUUGCGAAGGUGAGACGCAUGCACUGUAUUUUUAAAGUCACAGUUCACAACUAGUGUUGGGUACGCAAAAGAUUUGAUCAGUUUCUAAAUCUUAAAGGGAUGGUUCACCCGAAGACUUAAAUUCAGUCAUCAACUCUUCACGUCCUUGUAGGGCUGCCCUCAACUGGAGAACAAACACAGAAGAUUUUACAAAUGUGAUACAACCGUCCAUACCUGCGGGCUAUCCCACCACCAGUACUAUUCUUUCACUAUUGCUACAGUUAAAACGUCCCAGAAUCUGUACUUAUUAAUUUGGUUAAACUUUGUUAAUGUUUUUUUGUUUGUUUGUUUUUUAUUGUUUUUGUUUUGUUACAACUGGUUACAAUCAUUCUCAGUACUUUGUUCACUUUUUCAAAAUGGUGGUGUUCCUUGAAAUGAAUGAUGAAAAAUUAAACACUUAUACUUAUAAAAGACAUGUUUGGUAAUGAUAUGUGCUUGACACAUGUUAAAAGGUUUAAGUUUACUGGAAGGACUCAACAAGUACCAGUAAAAGAAGAAAAUUCCCCUCUGUUUUCAGUGGCGAGUGGACCCAUACCCAGCAGCCAAAGGAUUCUUUCUAAAUUAAUGCACAGAAAUAAAAUGUCAUAAUUGAGGUCAUAUCUCAUCUUUUGCUAGUCGAGAUAAGGUGAAAACGUCCAAUUAGGUUGAUACAUGGAGUUUAACCUCAAGUAGGCCUUGUCACAAUCCCAGCGUAGCCCUUGUGUCCUCUUUUUCCCUCUGCCUCCCGGUCUGUCUCUGUGUGUGUUCAGGCGUGUCUGUUCUCUGUCUCUCUCUCCCUCCACACCUGCUACUCAUUCCAGACCUGCACAGCUGCCAUGCAUCCAGUCAUCACUACCUGCUACAAAUACCCUGCUCAGUCUGCCAGUCCCCGCCAGAUCAUUCCUAGUCUCGGCUUGUGCUGUUGGCAUAUUUUCUAGCCAUGUUUUCCUAGCUUGCUUUGAUGCCUGACCUGCCGGUAGCUCUGUGUCUCCAUGUGCAUAGUUUGUCUGUUCUGCUUGCCUGUUCGCGCCCCCCCCCCCCCGUCCUGGAUCCCUCAGCUCUGUACACCUGUCAGCCCUCAGCUCAAACCUCCAGCCAGCUGAUCCUUGGGUUCAUCUGUUCAGCCCCACGUACCAGGCCUAAAUAAAAAUGUACUUAAUCCAA